rnacentral:rRNA from 1 species
AUUUGUCCCCUAAAUAGGGACUAGUAUGAAUGGCUAACUGAGGUUCUAACUGUCUCAUUAGACCAAUCAAUGAAACUGAUCUUUCAGUACAAAAGCUGAAAUAUACCCAUAAGACGAGAAGACCCUGUGGAGCUUAAAACUCAUAUUAUAAACCACAUAACUACACUUUUUAGUUGGGGCGACUUUGGAACAAAACAGAACUUCCAUGCCAGGACCCUACCAAGGCCCACACGCCAAAUUACACCAUUAUUGACCCAGCCCAUCAAAGGCUGAGCAACGAACCAAGUUACCCCAGGGAUAACAGCGCCAUCCUCUUCAAGAGUUCAUAUCGACAAGGGGGUUUACGACCUCGAUGUUGGAUCAGGACACCCCGGUGGUGCAACCGCUA